CUAGCUGGUCUGAGAGGAUGACCAGCCACACUGGAACUGAGACACGGUCCAGACUCCUACGGGAGGCAGCAGUGGGGAAUAUUGCACAAUGGGCGCAAGCCUGAUGCAGCCAUGCCGCGUGUAUGAAGAAGGCCUUCGGGUUGUAAAGUACUUUCAGCGGGGAGGAAGGGAGUAAAGUUAAUACCUUUGCUCAUUGACGUUACCCGCAGAAGAAGCACCGGCUAACUCCGUGCCAGCAGCCGCGGUAAUACGGAGGGUGCAAGCGUUAAUCGGAAUUACUGGGCGUAAAGCGCACGCAGGCGGUUUGUUAAGUCAGAUGUGAAAUCCCCGGGCUCAACCUGGGAACUGCAUCUGAUACUGGCAAGCUUGAGUCUCGUAGAGGGGGGUAGAAUUCCAGGUGUAGCGGUGAAAUGCGUAGAGAUCUGG
rnacentral:rRNA from 1 species